CAUAAAAAGCCACCCUUCCACCUCAGCAGUCACCUCCUGCCUGUGCGCGGCCGGCGGCCGGCCAUGCGGGGGGCGCGAGGCGGGCAGCCGGGCCCUGGCCCAGGGCGGCCAUGCGGGGAUGGCGGCUGGCAGCCACGGGGCAGAGCGGCGACAGGGACGGUCCCAGCACGGCGGGGGACAGCAGGGGCGCCGCAGUAAGAAGCCAAGAUGCUGCUUCAGGAAAGGAUCCCCGCUCGGGACAGAUGACAGAGCACCACGGAUAAGGUGAGCGUCUCGGUCGCGAAAUUAGAUAUAUUUCAGUAUGGUCAGAUGGAGAAGCUUCCCACCAGCUUCCAAAGAUGUUUUGCAACUAUUAGACAAGCUGACUAUCAGGCACUGUUCAUCUCCCCAUAAACCAGAAAAAAAAACAACAGUGGUGCUCUCUGCAUAAUAAGAUAAUUACCGUCCCUUUGAGGCUCUAGGGAAAAGUUGCCUGUGCUUUGCGCUGAUGAGAUUACGUGAGCUGAAAUCAGCCCCCAGAGGUUUGCUGGAUCCAGGCGGGGCGAGCAAACCCUCCUGUUUCCUGCUCGUGCAGCCUAAGGUGUAACGCGGAGCCGUGCUCCCACCGGCGUCAGGGAUCCUGUGCCUGGCUGCGGGAGGGAUCCCGUCCCCAGCACGCUCCGUCCUGCCUCGUGGUGAAGCUUUUUCUCCACAAGCACGUCCCAGAGCUGAUUCCCAUCUGCACUUUUCUCUUCCCUAAAGAGGGCCUGACCAAAGCAGUCAUGCUCCUGUUACACGAGCCCACCUGAGAGCCCCCCAGCAGCACGCCCAGGCUUUCCUGGGGGGCACAACGUGACCCAGGGCAGCUCCGAGGCAAUCUGAGCAUCCACGGGGAAAUAGAGGGGACGGGGCAGUGACCCCGGCUGCUCUUUUGGAGCCAUUACUGUUUAACUGGUAAACAUUUCCUUUAAAUGCCUACAUGGUUUCAUUAAAAAAAAAUAAUAAUAAAUUGCAAAGCGUAAUGGGAACAACUGUUCCCGGGGGGGUGUAUCCUGCCACUCAGCCACACAUCAGGCCCCUGCUAUCUUGAAGGCUGGCUCCAGGCGCCUCAGUCCUUUGAAAAACAAUAAACCUCCGUGCUCUAAUUUCCCGAGGAAAUAGACCAAACAAGUGGCACUUUGGCACGAAGCGAAGCGCAGGGUUUGCUUUGGUAAAUAAGCGGGCAUUUCACACCCAAAACCUGCCACAUCUGCCCCAGGGUGUCCCAGGAACCCUCCUGAGCAUCCUUUAGGGCUGGCCUGAAAAGCAGCCUCCCCGUCCUGGCAGCCCGUUGCCUGCUCCUGCAGGACUUUGGUGGUGUGAGGAGUUUUGUGAGGAGUUUUGUGAGGAGUCCAGGGGGAUUAAAGGGGCACGGCAGGACCCCACAGCCGUUGGGUGUCGGGGGGGGCAGAGCCACGUGCAGCCUUUUUUAGGGAAAGAGAAAUAAAUUCGCACUGGUGAUGGACGGC
rnacentral:lncRNA from 1 species